GAUGAACGCUGGCGGCGUGCUUAACACAUGCAAGUCGAACGGUGAAAGAGAGCUUGCUCUCUGGAUCAGUGGCGAACGGGUGCGUAACACGUGAGCAACCCACCCCGUAGACCGGGAUAACACCGGGAAACCGGUGCUAAUACCGGAUGCCGUCAUCGGGCCGCAUGACCUGAUGACGAAAUGGAUUCCGCUACGGGACGGGCUCGCGGCCUAUCAGCUUGUUGGUGGGGUAAUGGCCUACCAAGGCUUCGACGGGUAGCUGGUCUGAGAGGACGAGAAGCCACACUGGGACUGAGACACGGCCCAGACUCCGACGGGAGGCAGCAGUGGGGAAUCUUGCGCAAUGGGCGAAAUCCUGACGCAGCAACGCCGCGUGCGGGAAGACGGCUCUCGGGUCGUAAACCCCUUUUCCGAGGGACGAUGAUGACGGUACCUCGGGAAUAAGCCCCGGCUAACUACGUGCCAGCCGCCGCCGUAAUAC
rnacentral:rRNA from 1 species